AUACGUAGGGGGCGAGCGUUGUCCGGAAUGAUUGGGCGUAAAGGGCGCGUAGGCGGCCCGGUAAGUCUGGAGUGAAAGUCCUGUUUUUAAGAUGGGAAUUGCUUUGGAUACUGUCGGGCUUGAGUGCAGGAGAGGUAAGUGGAAUUCCCAGUGUAGCGGUGAAAUGCGUAGAGAUUGGGAGGAACACCAGUGGCGAAGGCGACUUACUGGACUGUAACUGACGCUGAGGCGCGAAAGUGUGGGGAGCAAACAGGAUUAGAUACCCUGGUAGUCCACACUGUAGACGAUGAAUGCUAGGUGUAGGGGGUAUCGACCCCUUCUGUGCCGCAGUCAACACAAUAAGCAUUCCGCCUGGGGAGUACGGCCGCAAGGUUGAAACUCAAAGGAAUUGGCGGG
rnacentral:rRNA from 1 species